CGCCUCUCCUCUCGAACUUCUUCCUCUGCGCCGCCGGCGAGGAGAGGCGGCGCCUCCUCCCCAGCCUCACCCGCCUCCGGCUCAGUCCUGCAGCUUCAUCUCCUCCUCCCUCGCCUUAGUCUGCGCCGCCGCAGCCUCGCUCAAGGUCACGGCCGUCGCCGCGGAGGUCCAGCCGCCGUCGAUCUGAAGGGGGUGCGUCGCCGGCGAGCUGCGACGGCGGUUCCUAGGUCACGGCCGCGAGCGCCAUGGCUUCCUCUCCUCCCGAGCUCCCUCCCUUUCCCUCUCUCUGUCGAGCCAGCAAGUCAAUUGAUCGACUAAUCGCAGCGAUUAAUCGCAGAAAAUCGCUGUUGAGCCAGCGAGUCGGGCGACUCGCUCCGCGAGCCAAGUCGCCCGCGCAAGCCAGUCACGACGCGACGACUAGGCGAUUAGUCGGCGACUAAUCGGCGAUUAGUCGGCGACUCAAAAACCUCGUCAGGGAGGAGACUUGUGUGGCAUAUGACGAAAUAAUUUUUUUCAAUGGGAUAUUUCAUUGCAGGGUGAUAUGGAGGAACCAAAAGAUCCAGAAGCAUCACCUCAUUAAAAAUUUAGGGAGGACACUUGUUUGGCAUAUGACGAAAUUUUGUUGAAGGUAAGUUGACUCUUUCACUUGCUUAUCUUGUUCUUUUGGUCUGGAUUACUUCUCUAACAUUUAAAAAAUCACUACUGCCAGGUUUUAGAUAUCCUAUUGAGUAAAUCUCAAUCGGUGUUUCCAUAUACAUGGCUGGGAUAAACAUUAUCAUAAAUAAGUUCAUCUCUAGCUGUGAGAGAGCCAAAUUUCUAUAGUAUUGUAAAAUGAAAUCUUCAAAGUAUUUUUUUCACAUGUGAUAUUAUUUUCAUUGUUUGACAAAUAAUUAAUAAGUGAUCCAAUUAUUUUUUUCAAAAUAGGUGAAACAAUAUGCUCUGCGUAAUAAUUUACCGAGCAUAGCAGUCCACUAAUCCUAUUUCAGGCAUGGCUAGAGUGUGUUACAACUGAACAGUUUCUUGUGCUAAUACUUGGAGAUCUGGAUGCACAUGAACAAUGAGCACAUGUUAUCCUCCACAGUUUGCGCCACAUGUUACCCUGAUGCAUGACAAUAGUGUAGCAUCGAUCUCAAAGUUGUGCUUGCAAUUAACAUCUACUUUAAUGGUACCAUAUUCUAGAGCUUAUCCUUAUUUUUUUAGAUUUUUGUUAAAAAUACCUAUUCAUUUUGGGUGAUCCUCUUUGUUAAAGAUGGAGAUUGAAAGGAAGAAUAAUCCUUAUCAUUAGUAUCUUAAUUGGUCCAUUGUCUUUAACCAUAAGGAUUAUUCAUAGCUUAAGAUGACCAAUUUGAUUUCUUUAACCAGUAAGGAUUAUUAAUUAUUGCUAACGUCUUUGAUCUCCAUAUACGUCGCCUAUAACUGUAGUAUGAUGAUUUGAGACAUAAUGGGGUACACAUAUUCUGAUGGUUUAUCUAGCAGUAUGUGAUUUCUUGACAUUUUCCCGGCAAUUUCACUUUAAUUUUCUUCUUUGCUUUUAGGUAUUUGUGUGAUUGAUGAGAACUACAUACAUAACAAUGCAAGGACACUAUAAUUUCGCAUUUUCAAGGCUAGCACAUGGAGCGGUAAAAGGGAGGAGGAGCUACCAUGGUGGCCAGGUAACUCGAGGAUGGAAGGGAAUUGGUGUAGAAUAAGCCUGCUCUCUACAAGAAAAUACAUAGGAUAAUUAGGAAACAAGGUGCUGAAAAAAAUAGAAGAAAAUGCAGAGACCAAAUACAGGGACUGCAACUCUGCAAGACUGAAAUUAAUGAAAAGCUAAGCCUUUUCUAUUUUAGAUGAACAAACAGCAAAGCCAGUUGAGGAGCGAUCUCCAGUAGCUCCCCGGUCACUAGCGGAGUCAAAGAUUGUCCGCUGAAAGACGGACAAGUGAUCAUGUUUUAUCAUUGUUGAAAGGAGUAGUGAAUGCUGAUGUACGUAUAUUUUUCAUUCAAUCUAAUGGAAGUGCAAAUUUAUCAUGUUGAAAGGAGUAGUGAAUGCUGAUGUACGUAUAUUUUUCAUUCAAUCUAAUGGAAGUGCAAUUUAUCAUUGUUGAAAGGAGUAGUGAAUGCUGAUGUACGUAUAUUUUUCGUUCAAUCUAAUGGAAGUGCAAACUUGUAUGUACUUUACUGGCGUUAUUUAGUGGAUUUUAUCAUAUUUAAUAUAUUGGAUUUU
rnacentral:lncRNA from 1 species